CAAUUUGCAGAGAACUUCUAAGAGAGAGUUUGGAAGAAGAAGAGAAAUUUUACUAGAAUUUUGAGGUUGAAGAAGAGGAGGAGAACUCAAGCAAAGUGUAUCCAUGGCUGAAUUUUAGUUCAUUCUGCACAUCACUGGUUUUUAAUUCGGUUCGAACUCUUCAAAAGGAAUUAAGAGGGCAGUUGGUUUUCACUCGAAAUCAGGAGGUCUCUGGUUUUUCUUGUAUUUCAGAGUGUAUCGGUGGUGUUAGAAUCUCUAUUUGUUAAAUUGUAGGGACAAGUUAAAGAGGUCGUGUGCGCGCGAUUCUGGAAGUGGUUCUGUUUUGAGGGUUAUAUGUGUUUAUGCACGGGGAAUCAGAUUUAUAUGUCUUCAGGCCGAGAAGAAUUAAACCGAGCUUAUAGACCAAGGAUCUAACCCAAGACUAUGAGUGACAAAACCAACUUUGAAAUAUUUUCCAUAAUUGUUAUUAUGAUUGAAUGCGAUAAAUGUUUAUUUACGAAGCCAUGAAAGGUAUUUGAAUUUCAUGACUAUUUUCAAGUAUACAUUUGGAGACUAGAUUUCUUAAAGAAAUUUAUGCUAGCGCGUAGAUAUUAAAUGUUUGGAAAGUAUUUAAACCACAAUAUUUUAAGCAAAGCAUGAAUUAGUAUGAAGUUUUGUUUUAAGAACUACAAUUUUCCACGAAAGAGCUGAGUAAAGUUCGAGCUUUGUGUAAAAUUUAUAAGCAGGCAUGUUUUAAUAUUUUAAGAUGAUUUAUGAAAUUUUCAUUAACUACAUGACUGAGAUCUUGAGCCUGAGGCUAGAGAUUACCGUGUGCACACUGGUUAGAUUCCGUUGUUGACGUUGAGUGUACUCCGUAACAACGAUGCUGUCGUGAGUGCUGGGCGGGCCCCACUACAUCGUAGUGCUUGUAAACGUUGUUGUACUAGGUGUACCCUAAACAACGUAGAUUCGUCAUGUUAGUUAAAAUGCUUCGAGAUACUUGAUAUGCCUUGCUAGAUUUCAAUGAUGAACAUGCUGAGUAUUUAAGGAAGCUAUUCUUACUACUACACAUUUACGUUUACGACUUGUAUAAACAGAUUUAUAUGUGUAAAGUUUUCAGGUG